GAAGGGGGAAGCAGGAAAAAGUUUGUAUUGGAGAGGGGAGACAGUUCAUUUGACGGUGCUGCCUUCUACUGCAGUGACACGGGGCAGGAAAUAGUACACCGACUGGUGAAAUGAAGAGUGGUUCUGUUCUGUUAGGAGGGGGACAGUAGCAACUGGCUGAGGUUAUCAUUCUGCUUUCACUGUAUUUAACGUGCAGGAAAAUGCCACGGCACUAUCUGACGUGUGGAGACAUUUCACUGCAGCUAAUGUAGAAGGAAAUUAUAUGUACAUUUGCAAAUACUGUGCCAAAUCAUAUGUGAAGAAUGCAACAAAGAUGCAGAAUCAUCUGGCAAAGUGCAUAAAGUUCCCUCAGCGCUCACAACAAGCAACCUCUGACAAAAGUCCCUCUACUUCUAUUCGAGGUGAAAAUGAUGAAUCAGACACCUUAUCGAUAGCAACAGCUCAUGGUCCUCCUGGAAUCAGAUUUAUUUUUUACUCAAUGGAGGAACGUAGUCAUUGAAAUCUCCACCCCUCAACCAGUAUUCUACAAGAGCACAAACAAGGGCCAACAGACACACUGGUCUCUACAUUGCAGAUGAGCUGAAGGCAGUCAAUGACCUUGGACCACAGAAGGUAUUUGCACUGGUGACAGACAAUGCUGAGAACACGAAGGCUGCUUGGUUUAAACUGGAGGAGGCCUACCCUCACAUUACACCCAUUGGCUGUGCUGCUCAUGCAUUGAAUCUGCUCCUCAAGGACAUCAUGGCACUGAAAACAAGGGAUACACUCUACAAGAGAGCCAAGGAAAUGGUUAGGUAUGUGAAGGAUCAUCAAGUUAUAGCAGCAAUCUACCUCACCAAGCAAAGUGAGAAGAAUAAGAGCACCACAUUGAAGCUGCCCAGCAAAACCUGUUGGGGUGGUGUUGUCAUCAUGUUUGACAGUCUCCUGGAGGGGAAGGUGUCUCUCAAAGAAAUGGCCUUAUCACAAUCUGUCGAUAUGGACAGCCGCAUCAAGAGGAUCCUCCUGGGUUAUUUAUUUUGGGAGAGAGUGGUAAACAGCCUGAAACCUAAACCUAUACACAGAUUGAGGGAGACAAUGCCAUCCUGUCUGUUGUUCAGACUCUGCUUUCAAAUGUAAGAGAAGAAAUCCGUACUGCCCUGCCCACUUCACUGUUGCUCCAAACAGAGGAAACAGCAGUUCUGAAAUGCAUCAAAAAGUGUGAAGUGUGCAGAGUACAUGUUGGACCCCAAGUAUGCUGGCAAGAGCAUCCUGUCUGGUGCAGAGAUCAACAAGGCCUAUGCUUCAUCACUCCUGUAUUUCACCACCUUGGCCUGGAUGAGGGCAAGGUUCUUGGUACACUUCCAAGCAAGGGCUUUGGGAUGGAGCUGCAAUAUGGCAGUCUUGCCAACAUAUCUCAUCAGCCACCUGGUGGAAGGGACUUUGUGGAUCUGAGACCCUUUCCCCUGUUGCCUCCAUCAUCCUCCAAAUCCCACCAACAUCAGCCACCUCAGCACGCAACAGGCUGACCAACACAAGGGUUAAAAAUUGGUGGCCAUCAGGGCAAAUGUUUGGCUUUUUGAGCCUGACAACAAGCCAUCCUCAACAAGGUUGGAAAGUGACAGUGAAUAUCAUCCCAUGUGAAGAGUCAUCUCAUUUAAUUAAAAAGGUCCAUUUGUAACGAAAUAAAAAUAUAUAUAUUUCUAUUGGAAGGAUUUAAUCAUAUUAUUAUUAUUAAGGUACAAGGUUUAUGUUUCUGUCUCCAUAUGAUAUGGCAAAUAUAAUAUUUCCAAUGUAAAAAUCUACAUUUAAAUGGUAUUAGUAUUAAUUUGCAUAUUUUUCAGUUAAUUCCCAUAUACAGUUGCAAGAAAAAGUAUGUUUGGAAUUACCUGGAUUUCUGCAUAAAUUGGUCAAGAAAUGUAAUCUGAUCUUGAUCUAAGUCACAACAAUAGACAAACAGUAUGCUUAAACUAAUAACACACAAAAUGUUUUUUGUCUAUAUUGAAUACAUAAUUUAAAAACAUUCACAGUGUAGGUAUGUGAACCCCUAGGCUAAUGACUUCUCCAACAGCUAAUUGGGGUCAGGAGUCUCCUACCCUGGAGUCCAAUCAAUGAGACGACAUUAGAGAUGUUGGUUGGAGCUGCCCUGCCAUAUAAAAACAACAACUGAUUUUGCUAUUCACAUGAAGCAUUGCCUGAUGUAAACCAUGCCUCGAACGAAAGAUCUUAGAAGACCUAAGAUUAAGAAUUGUUGACUUGCAUAAAGCUGGAAAGGGUUUCAAAAGUAUCUCUAAAAGCCUUGAUGUUCAUCAGUCCACGGUAAGACAAAUUGUCUAUUAUUGAGAAAGUUCAGCCCUGUUGCUACUCUCCCUAGGAGUGGCCGUCCAGCAAAGUUGACUGCAAGAGCACAGCGCAGGAAGGCUCAAUGAGGUUAAGAAGAAUCCUAGAGCGUCAGCUAAAGACUUACAGAAAUCUCUAGAACAUGCUAACAUCUCUGUUGAUGAGUCUAUGAUACCUAAAACACUAAACAAGAAUGAUGUUCCUGGGAGGACACCACGGAAGUAGCCACUGCUGUCCAAAAAACAACAUUGCUGCACGUCUGCAGUUAACAAAAGAGCACCUGGAUGUUCCACAGCGCUACUGGCAAAAUAUUCCGUGGACAGCUUAAACUAAAGUAGAGUUGUUUGGAACACACACAACACUAUGUGUGGAGAAAAAUAGGAACAACACACCAACAUCCAAACCUAAUCACAAUUGUAAAGAAUGGUGGAGGUAGCAUCAUGGUUUGGGCUGCUUUUGACGGAAAAAUGAAUUCCCAUGUUUAUCAAGACAUUUUUGCAGGAGAAUGUUAGGCUAUCUGUCCACCAAUUGACGCAACAGGACAACGACCCAAAACACAGAAGUAAAUCAACAGAAUGGCUUCAAAAGAAGAAAAUAGGCCUUCUGGGGUGGCCCAGUCAGAGUCCUGACCUCAACCCCAUUGAGAUGCUGUGAUAAGACCUCGAGAUUGGUUCACACCAGACAUCCCAAGAAUAUUGCUAAACUGAAAUAAUUUUGUAAAAAGGAAUGGUCCAAAAUUCCUCCUGACCGUUGUGCAGAUCUGAUCCGCAACUAUAGAAAACAUUUGGUUGAGGUUUUUGCUGCCAAAGGACGGUCAACCAGUUAUUAAAUCCAAGGGUUCAGUGUGUUCAAUAAAGACAUAAAACAUAUAAUUGUUUAUGUGUUAGAUUAAAUCAGACUGAUGGUUGUGACCAAGAUGAAGAUCAGAUUAUGACCAAUUUAUGCAGAAAGAGAGGUCAUUCCAAAGGGUUCAAACUUCUUUUUUUGCCACUGUAUUCCGGUUAAUUUCCACUUAAAAAGUGUCCACUCUGAAUAUUCCCCAAAAUGUACAACCCUAGGGCAACUAAACUUUUUGUUUCUGGUAUUUAUUUUUAAAUACUCAGGGUUACAGAAUAUUAAAUUGAGCAAUAUACCACAUUACUUCAGACUAGUAAUACAUGUG